rnacentral:rRNA from 1 species
AGGAAAGGUGAAAAGCACUUCGAAUAGAAGAGUGAAAUAGUCCCUGAAACCGUGCGCCUACAAGCGGUCGGAGCUGCGUAAGCAGUGACGGCGUGCCUUUUGCAUAAUGAACCUACGAGUUACUUUUUCCGGCAAGGUUAAGCAUCUUGAGAUGCGCAGCCGAAGCGAAAGCGAGUCUGAACAGGGCGUCGAGUCGGAAGGAGUAGACGCGAAACCAAGUGAUCUACCCUUG